AGAAGUUCAUUAUUAGCUUUCUUAAAGCUCAUUAACCACAAGCACCUGGCCUUAAAGAAUCAGCUUUCGUUUGGAGUUCAACCAACGAGAUGAUACGCUAUGAUCAAGGAAAUCGAAUGGACGAUCCUUAGAGCCGAAGAAACUGGAAAGGAUAAUUUCACAAAGCUUUUGUUAUCGCUUCAGUUUUCUUAUUUUAACACUUUACGCGCACUGUAUGUAUGUAUAAGCCGUUGAUUACACUCGAGUACACACGAGUGGUUGUUAAAAGCUACUAGGGUUUCGCGAUUAAAACAAAUUGUAUACAUUUUGUAGGUCUGGUCCGUAAUUGACCCAGAAAGGUACCAGAAGAAAAAGCAAUGCGAUAUUUCUGCAGCUGUCAGGAUAUUUCUGCGCUUUGCAGGAGAGCAUUACCACACGCGUUAAUGCGAGCGUAUUUUUAUUUCUCUCCGUUCACCACCGGCAAAGUCGAACAGUUUUAUGAUAAGAGUGUAGAAUCUUAAUUGAGUUAGUUCGCGCUGGGAGGGCAGUACUAAGUAUAGACACGGUAAUACUUAUUUUAUGUAUAAAUCGAUUUUCUCCACCACUAACGAGCUAUAUUUAGGUAUGCCUUUCCCCUCUUCGCUUCGAUCAAUCCUUUAUCUUAACAAGUCUCUGUAAAAGUUUGACGAACAUCACCUGAAUACCUUCUUGUUCUAUUUAAUAAUUAGUUGAAGAUAUGAAACUAAUUAAUAAGGUAUUGUUAAUAAUUCAAUUGUAACUCGAAAAUGACAUGUAAAUGCGGUAAUUAAGAAUCUCGAGAAUAUGGACUACUUCCAAUUUGGAGUUCAAAGUGAGUCAUCACAAGAAAGCACUUCAUUCUAAUUACUUAACCGGAAACAAUUUCAUGAAAUAUUUUGAAGUAUAGGAGAUUAAAUCUUACUAGAAAAGUGGAUAGAAUUACUCGCAUGUAAUAUUCAGUGGGUUGAAGAUUCACCCUUUACCUUUUAAUACCAAGCUAUUCUUAUAAUUAGAUUUCAUACACUUAAGUUCCAUAUAAAUAUCUGAGUGUGCAAUGCUUAAAAAUUUGUAAGGUUUUAAAUUUUUAAAUUCCAAGGUCUCAGAUUUUAAAAGCUCCUAAAUUAGUUAUAUUUUAAUAUGCAAUGUAAUUCCGCCAAAAUUAUCUCUGUACCCAACAAAGCAUUUUAAAAAUCUCUGCCACGGAACUAUAUCAGCGGGACGUUUCUACGGAUCAGCGAGUUCCGCGUCGUCGAGACCUGAAGAUAAAUCGAAUUUUCAUUAGAAGACGAAGGGGGUGAAAGGGGAGGAAAAAUAUGCACGUUCGAUGCCAGUACACUGUAAACCAAAUUCACGAGAGCAUGAAACGAUAUAGAAAGAGGAGGAAGAUCCUCCGCAACUAGUUUCCACGGAUGGCGACAAAAUGACUGCGUUCCGUGGAUGUCCACGACUGCCAAACUGGAGGGCGUAUUGCCAAUUCGUUUCGUCGCUGUUUUUGCACAUCUCUAUCGUGGAUCGGAGUAACGCAGCGACGACUCUUCAUCGUUGUCGAUACACUUGAUCAAGGAUAACAUCGAAACGAUCUCCUCUGCUGGCAAUCUUAAAAUAAACUUGGUCACCGAGGUGGUACAGUUACUAGCACGAGCGAUCUCCAAGAAGAUUAUUCGUUGUUUUCGUUUCAUUGGAACGGGAAGACAUUUGGAAAUUUGGAAAGGACACAUAGAUUCAAUUGGACACGAGGAUGCUGAUAAUAUCAUACGUAAAAGAUAAAAACAAGAUAUCAAUUAAACCAACAUUAUUUCUUCCUGGAACACUUCUGUUUUCCCUCCUUCGCUUUAAAAAUGGCC